AGUGAACGCUGGCGGUGGGCCUAACACAUGCAAGUCGAACGGCCGCACAGUAAGAGCUCGCUCUUACGGGUGGCGAGUGGCGGACGGGUGAGGCAUACAUCGGAAUCUACUUUUUCUUGGGGGAUAACGUAGGGAAACUUACGCUAAUACCGCAUACGUCCUACGGGUGAAAGCAGGGGAUCUUCGGACUUUGCGCGAUUGAAUGAGCCGAUGUCGGAUUAGCUAGUUGGCAGGGUAAAGGCCCACCAAGGCAACGAUCCGUAGCUGGUCUGAGAGGAUGAUCAGCCACACUGGAACUGAGACACGGUCCAGACUCCUACGGGAGGCAGCAGUGGGGAAUAUUGGACAAUGGGCGCAAGCCUGAUCCAGCAAUACCGCGUGAGUGAAGAAGGCCUUCGGGUUGUAAAGCCCUUUUGUUGGGAAAGAAAAGCAGCAGGUUAAUACCCCGCUGUUCUGACGGUACCCAAAGAGUAAGCACCGGCUAACUUCGUG
rnacentral:rRNA from 1 species